rnacentral:rRNA from 1 species
AUACGGAGGAUCCGAGCGUUAUCCGGAUUUAUUGGGUUUAAAGGGUGCGUAGGUGGUUUGAUAAGUCAGCGGUGAAAGUUUGCAGCUUAACUGUAAAAAUGCCGUUGAAACUGUCGGACUUGAGUGUAAAUGAGGUAGGCGGAAUGCGUGGUGUAGCGGUGAAAUGCAUAGAUAUCACGCAGAACUCCGAUUGCGAAGGCAGCUUACUAAGCUACAACUGACACUGAAGCACGAAAGCGUGGGGAUCAAACAGGAUUAGAUACCCUGGUAGUCCAUGCAGUAAACGAUGAUUACUAGCUGUUUGCGAUACACAGUAAGCGGCACAGCGAAAGCGUUAAGUAAUCCACCUAGGGAGUACGCCGGCAACGGUGAAACUCAAAUGAAUUGACGGGG